ACAACCAUAUCAUGUUGAAACAUUGGUUCCCAUACGAUUAUAGAAGUUAAGCAACAUCAAACCUGGUUAGUAUCUAGAUGGGUGACCACUUGAGAAUACUAGGUGCUGUAA